rnacentral:rRNA from 1 species
GAUGAACGCUGGCGGCGUGCCUAAUACAUGCAAGUCGAGCGAACAGACGAGGAGCUUGCUCCUCUGACGUUAGCGGCGGACGGGUGAGUAACACGUGGAUAACCUACCUAUAAGACUGGGAUAACUUCGGGAAACCGGAGCUAAUACCGGAUAAUAUAUUGAACCGCAUGGUUCAAUAGUUAAAGACGGUUUUGCUGUCACUUAUAGAUUGAUCCGCCCCGCAUUAGCUAGUUGGUAAGGUAACGGCUUACCAAGGCAACGAUGCGUAGCCGACCUGAGAGGGUGAUCGGCCAGCCUGGAACUGAGACACGGUAGAGACUCCUACAGGAGGCAGCAGUAGGGAAUCUUCCGCAAUGGGCGAAAGCCUGACGGAGCAACGCCGCGUGAGUGAUGAAGGUCUUCGGAUCGUAAAACUCUGUUAUUAGGGAAGAACAAAUGUGUAAGUAACUAUGCACGUAUUGACGGUACCUGAUCAGAAAGCCACGGCUAACUACGUG